GGAGUUAGGAAAUGUAAGUGCGCUAAUAUCGCAUUUAUUUGACGAAGGCUCCAAAGGAAGCCACGGCUAACUCUGUGCCAGCAGCCGCGGUAAUACAGAGGUGGCAAGCGUUGUUCGGAAUUAUUGGGCGUAAAGAGCACGUAGGUGGGUUUGUAAGUCAGAUGUGAAAGCCUUCUGUUCAACGGAAGAAUUGCAUCUGAAACUGCAGGUCUUGAGUGUAGGAGGGGAGAGUGGAACUUCUG
rnacentral:rRNA from 1 species